rnacentral:rRNA from 1 species
UACGUAGGGGGCGAGCGUUGUCCGGAUUUAUUGGGCGUAAAGAGCGUGUAGGCGGCCAGGUAGGUCUGCUGUGAAAACUCGAGGCUCAACCUCGGCAGGUCGUUGGAAACCAUAUGGCUAGAGUCCGGAAGAGGAGAGUGGAAUUCCUGGUGUAGCGGUGAAAUGCGCAGAUAUCAGGAAGAACACCAAUGGCGAAGGCAGCUCUCUGGGACGGUACUGACGCUGAGACGCGAAAGCGUGGGGAGCGAACAGG